rnacentral:tRNA from 1 species
ACUUAAAUAGUUUAAAUUAAAACCUUGAUUUGUGGUGUCAAAAAUAUGAAGUUUCAUUUUGAGUC